GGAGUCGUGGCCGAGUGGCUGAAGGCGACGGUUUGCUAAACCGUUAUACGGGGUUAACCUGUAUCGAGGGUUCGAAUCCCUCCGACUCCGCCA
rnacentral:tRNA from 1 species